rnacentral:lncRNA from 1 species
AAUUCAAUUUGACUUGAUCCAAAAAUAAUUACUCAAUCAAAUUGAGUUAAUUAGUGAUCAAAUCACUAACUGAACCUCUCAUAAAUACUGAGUCCAAAUCUGAUGGGCAAUCGGGCAUCAGAGUCCAUCGAUAUGAAACCCUGAUCGAAGAGUCCCAAACCAAUGGGACUCUUGACCCCGGUACCCAAAAUGUGUGAAACUCGUGAUCAGAGAAUCCUAAUUCUCGAUCAUAAAGUCUCAGACACAUAGGACUUAGAGUCCUCGAGCAUUAGGACUCUUGGUCGAAGAGUCUCAGUCCAGUGGGACUCUUCACCAGCCAUCAGAUCAGAUAGGAACCUCUAAUGUGUGUGACCCCACAGGUUCGAACCUA